GGAAGCACAAAUAAGUUUGCUAAUUUUGUCAACAAAAACGUGGUUGGCAAUAUCAAAGGGUUUUGUUAUGAAUGAGCUAUCAGCCUCAAUGAAGGAUGGAGCCGAAUUAGCUUUAAUGCCUAGAAUUUUAUUUAAGCACUCGAGAUUUUAUUAUAAUUAAUAAAUUAUAUCUUAUUUCCAUUGUAUAGUUUCUUCUUGUUUUUGUUUAGUUUAGUUACGUGAUUUGUCAAUUUACUGUAUGGUUGCCAAUCUGCUGUGUUGCCAGACUUAUUUUCCAUUCCCUUAGUGUACAGGCAAAAAACCUCACUCCUGUUUGGACCUUCAGGUGCCUCUUCAGAUGGUGCUGGUGUAAGGACAGAAGCUGGGAGACGAGAAACAAGUGCAGUUUCCAUGUCUUCUCCCUGGACGACCUCAAUGUUCACCUCUUGAACAUCAGACUCUGAGGCCUCAUCUUCACUGUCACCUUUUAACCUUGUUGAGGAUGGCUCGUUGUCAGACUCAAAAAGGCUACAAUUUGCCCGGAUGGCCACCAAUUUUUCAACCCUUGUAUUGGACAACCUGUUGCGUGCUUUGGUGUGUGUGUUCCCAAACAAGGACCAGUUGGGCUCCGAGGUGGAUGAUGUUGGUGGGAUUUGGAGGAGGAUGGAGGCAACAGGGGAAAGAGCGUCAGAUCCACAAAAUCCCUUCCACCAGGUGUCUGAUGAGAUAUGUUGCCACGACUGCCAUAUUGCAUCUCCAUGCCAAAGCUCUUGCUUGAAAGUGUUGUAGUAAAACGCCAAAUGGAUCUACCUCCUGGUCCUCUUCCCCUGUCUUACCCACCAAGGGUAGAGACAGAGAUGACCUCGCCUACUGAAAUACCGGAUUGGGCAAAGCCACCAGAGGAUGACUCAAGCCAACCAACUACUGAACCUGACUGGUGUCAGGAAGAAUCACCCUCUGCCUCAAGUGACACCUCUGAAUGGGAACAGCUGAUAGACUCAUUGUUGCUAGAGUAAUGGGCUUUGUCAUAACCAGAGGCCCAUAUAUGCACUGAAAGACAAGUAUUUCCUCAUUGUUGCUAGAGUAAUGGGCUUUGUCAUAACCAGAGGCCCAUAUAUGCACUGAAAGAAAAGUAUUUCCUGUUGUAAGAUAUGUCAUCACCCUCUCUGCUCUGAGGGAAUGGGAGGAGCAGCAGAUCGGGUGCAGAGAAUCAAAAGGUAUAUAAAGAGACAUUUGCCAUUACUUUGGUGCUGACUUCUUGAAUUCUGAAUUCAUUUAGGCAACCAUUUGACUUCAGGUAAUUGCCACCUGACUCAAAUUACUUAAAGAUUCUAACUUGCUGGAUACCAGGGUAAGAGUCUGUUUACCUAUCGACCAGUUGACCCUGUGUGCAGCAUACCGUUGGACCGAGUGUACCGUUGUGCCAAAGUCUUAAUUGACCAGGAACACUGUAGCACCGGCCGGGUUGCUUGCCCCAGACACUGCGGUAGAUCAACGGCAGAAUUACCACCUGCUGAGAACGGUUGGAAAGUUGUUCGAAUCGACUCUGUCUCCGACUGACCCAGUGACACGUGUACUGUUGUAGCACAGUGCCUUGCCCUGGAAUCGCGGUUGCAGGUUAUUUGACAAUACUAUCCAGCCUGAGGGCAGGUUAGAGUACUCAGGCUAACUUGAAUCUCGAAAUUUAGUUGAACCAAUGAUUCCUCAUGGGAGAGAUCGAUACAUAAACUAAAUUCUCAGAACUCUGAUCGAUUGAAACUCUGCUCCUGAUCUCGUGGGUCUCCUCGUCAUCUCUCAAAUUUAAUUAAAUAACUAUUAUAAGCAUUUAAUAUAGAGAUAAGUGUUAUCAUUGUACCAGGCAUUUUAUAGAGCAUUAAGGCAAUUGCAUGUUUUUGAUUAACGCUGUGUGUGACCGAGUAACAAUUGUGUAUUUUGAAGUGUGUUUGAUUGUAAGACAAAAAACAGAGUGUUUUCAAAAAUAAACGGUAGUCUUAUUU